CGGGGCAGGGGAGGGUGUACGCGUGGGGCAAGAAUACGCAGGGGCAGUGUGGACAGGGCAACGGCGAGGACAGCUCCAAACCCCAGCUGGUGCGCAAGCUCGAAGACGUGGUGGUUACGCGCCUGGCUGCUGGGU
rnacentral:ribozyme from 1 species